rnacentral:rRNA from 1 species
GAUGGACGCUGGCGGCGUGCCUAAUACAUGCAAGUCGAGCGAACGGACGAGAAGCUUGCUUCUCUGAUGUUAGCGGCGGACGGGUGAGUAACACGUGGAUAACCUACCUAUAAGACUGGGAUAACUUCGGGAAACCGGAGCUAAUACCGGAUGAUAUUUUGAACCGCAUGGUUCAAAAGUGAAAGACGGUCUUGCUGUCACUUAUAGAUGGAUCCGCGCUGCAUUAGCUAGUUGGUAAGGUAACGGCUUACCAAGGCAACGAUGCAUAGCCGACCUGAGAGGGUGAUCGGCCACACUGGAACUGAGAAACGGUCCAGACUCCUACGGGAGGUAGCAGUAGGGAAUCUUCCGCAAAGGGCGAAAGCCUGACGGAGCAACGCCGCGUGAGUGAUGAAGGUCUUCGGAUCGUAAAACUCUGUUAUUAGGGAAGAACAUAUGUGUAAGUAACUGUGCACAUCUUGACGGUACCUAAUCAGAAAGCCACGGCUAACUACGUG